GAUGAACGCUGGCGGCGUGCUUAACACAUGCAAGUCGAACGAAGCACUUUAUUUGAUUUCCUUCGGGACUGAUUAUUUUGUGACUGAGUGGCGGACGGGUGAGUAACGCGUGGGUAACCUGCCUUGUACAGGGGGAUAACAGUUGGAAACGUCUGCUAAUACCGCAUAAGCGCACGGCAUCGCAUGAUGCAGUGUGAAAAACUCCGGUGGUAUACGAUGGACCCGCGUUGGAUUAGCUAGUUGGUGAGGUAACGGCCCACCAAGGCGACGAUCCAUAGCCGAACUGAGAGGGUGACCGGCCACAUUGGGAGUGGGACACGGCCCAAACUCCUACGGGAGGCAGCAGUGGGGAAUAUUGCACAAUGGGCGAAAGACUGAUGCAGCGACGACGCGUGAGCGAAGAAGUAUUUCGGUAUGUAAAGCGCUAUCAGCAGGGAAGAUAAUGACGGUACCUGACUAAGAAGCAACGGCUAAAUACGUG
rnacentral:rRNA from 1 species